rfam:Gaeumannomyces graminis var. tritici R3-111a-1 unplaced genomic scaffold supercont2.8, whole genome shotgun sequence.
GGUUGUGUAGCGCAAUGGUAGCGCGCUUGCUUUUGUAGCGGGAAAUCCUGGGUUUAACUCCCGGUGCAACCU